UACGUAGGGUGCGAGCGUUGUCCGGAAUUAUUGGGCGUAAAGGGCUCGUAGGCGGUUUGUCGCGUCGGGAGUGAAAACCCAGGGCUUAACCCUGGGCUGGCUUCCGAUACGGGCAGACUAGAGGUAUGCAGGGGAGAACGGAAUUCCUGGUGUAGCGGUGAAAUGCGCAGAUAUCGGGAAGAACACCCGUGGCGAAGGCGGUUCUCUGGGACGGUACUGACGCUGAGACGCGAAAGCGUGGGGAGCGAACAGG
rnacentral:rRNA from 1 species